UGCAAUGGUAAUCGAAGCCCAUGUUUAAGGGCAUUCAUAAAAAUAAACACUUGGUUACUCAAAAAUUCAGUAGGCCCAGGAAUCCUCCACUUCACUGUAUCCGGAAUUAGAAAUUCGGCAUGAUACCCUAUGUGCUCUCUUUCCGUAACCUUGUCCAAAUCAAAGUAAUCAACCCCCAACCAUGUCCCUUUCAGCAUGAUACCCCAUGAGCUCCCUUUCCGUAAUCCUCCCCUUUGUCCAGCUUGGAUUUCUCCAUGUCCUGGCAUUCCAGCUAUCUCUUGGCAUGGCCAUGCCAGUCCUGGUGGAGGUCCAAAAGGGAGGUCUAGCUGCUGGACCACAACAUCUGGGUUUUG
rnacentral:lncRNA from 1 species